AUUCAUGGAUGUUUCAGACCAGCUGAGGAAACUGCUUCAGUCACUGCCACUGAAAUGCACAUUCAUCAGAAGUCUGCUUCCUGUUUUUGUCUCUCAGCCUCCUACAUAAAGCUGUUUGCUUUUGAUUUCACUUCCAUUCCCUGUGACACAGAUGAGUUUCUACACUGAGAGGUGAUGGCAGAGAGGCUCAGUGAAUGGAUAUGGCUUCAGAAGUUGCUGCAAGUACAAUGAAUCAGUGUGAGAAGAAAAAGGAGGCCGACACUGCCUCCAAAACCACAGAGAGCUUGAAACAUGACAGUGAGACAAAAGCUCAGAGCCCAAAACAGCAGCAGCAGAGACCAGACUGUCCUGAAGUCAGCUGUGUGUCCAUGAAGAGCGACUGGUCGAUGGGUCGCUUUGAGGACUUUAAAGCUGCCCAAUCUGAUGAUGGAAAACCUGAAAUUAACACCUCCCUCUGCCUGAAACAGCAGCAGCAGAGACCAGACUGUCCUGAAGCCAGCUGUGUGUCCAUGAAGAGCGACUGGUCGAAGGAUAGCCUUAAUGACUUCAACGCUGGCCAAUCUGAUGAUGGAGAACCAGGAAUUAAAAGGUUGUUGGCUAAUGUGGAUGAAAAAUAAUGAUGAUAAUCGUUAUUUAUAGAGAACUUCUCAAAACCCAAAUUACAAAGAGCUUCAUAAGACAUUAAAACAUAACUCAGUGUAUAAAAACCAAUGCAUGAAGCAUUUAAAAGAAAUGAAAGAUAUCCAUCCAUCCAUUAUCUAUACAUCGCUUAAUCCUCAUAGGGUCUCGGGGGGAGCUGGAGUCUAUCCCAGCUGACUUGAGGCGAAGUCAGGG
ensembl:lncRNA